rnacentral:rRNA from 1 species
CUAGCCCUAAACGGUGCACGUUUGCUGUGGGCGGAUUCGACCCCGUCCGUGGCGUAGCUAACGCGAUAAACGUGCCGCCUGGGAANCGCGAAGAACCUUACCUGGCCUUGACAUGUAGGUGGUAGAAGGAUGAAAGUCUAACGACCCCGCAAGGGGAGCCUGCACAGGUGC